CCCUUAGAUGUUCUGGGCCGCACGCGCGCUACACUGAUGCAUUCAACGAGUCUAAAACCUGCUCUGAUAGGGGUGGGUAAUCUUUUGAAUGUGCAUCGUGAUUGGGAUAGAUGAUUGCAAUUUUUCAUCUUCAACGAGGGAUGCCUAGUAAACGCAAGUCAUCAGCUUGCAUUGAUUACGUCCCUGCCCUUUGUACACACCGCCCGUCGCUCCUACCGAUUGAAUGAUCCGAUGAAUAUCAUGGAUUGAGGAUGUAAGCAGGUUCGCCUGUCUUCAUCUUCGAGAAGUGAAGUAAAUCUUAUCAUUUAGAGGAAGGUGAAGUCGUAACA
rnacentral:rRNA from 1 species